AAAUAGAGAUUAAUUUGAUGUUUGUGGCAAAUUCCAUAUCAGUUAUCAUGUCACCUUUUUGACCUAUGAUCGAAAUGAGGUAUAUAAAGCGAGCUCUGUUAACUUAAAGAAGAUCCUAUCGCGAAUUGACUCUUGGAAAUAUCAUUUAGUGUUUGAAUUUUCAACUUUAAUAAGUGUUAAAACAAGUUAAUCAAAUCGAUAUGAAGAUCUUUCACUUUAUAUACUUAUUCCUCGUCAUUUUGACCUACAUUUCUUUCACCAAUGCGGCCUGCACGGAAGAUGAGUGUAAAGCCGCUUGCAAACACGUUGGAAAUAUUCCCGGUGGAAAAGGUGGCAAGUACUGUGUCGAUGGUGCUUGCAAAUGUGCUAUGGUGCGUCCAUAAUGAUUCAAAGGCCUCUUUUUUAACGACGAUACUUAUCAAUGUAUAUCAAUAAUCAGGAUGAUCAAACGACGCCCUAGUCGUUUGUCAUCGAAAAUGUCCUUCUCUAUAUGUAAAUAAAUAUUUUAAAAUAUAACGUCAAA